AUUGAACGCUGGCGGCAGGCCUAACACAUGCAAGUCGAGCGAGCGGCGGACGGGUGAGUAAUGUAUGGGGACUGCCCGUUAGAGGGGGAUAACUACUGGAAACGGUAGCUAAUACCGUAUACUAUCCGAUAACCCUUAGGGGAUUAGCUAGUUGGGGAGGUAAUGGCCCACCAAGGCGACGAUCCCUAGCUGGUCUGAGAGGAUGAUCAGCCACAAUGGGACUGAGAAACGGCCCAGACUCCUACGGAGGCAGCAGUGGGGAAUAUUGCACAAUGGGCGCAAGCCUGAUGCAGCCAUGCCGCGUGUAUGAAGAAGGCCUUCGGGUUGUAAAGUACUUUCAGUCGGGAAGCGUUACCGACAGAAGAAGCACCGGCUAACUCCGUGCCAGCAGCCGCGGUAAUUC
rnacentral:rRNA from 1 species